AUAUCCGUGAAUAAAUUUUCUUGAGUCUCUCGCUGCCGUAAGACCGUGUGGAGACUGCUAGCGAGUAACACGUGUAACAGGGGUGUGUCAUUGGCUCGGUAAUUCGCUGGUCAAACUCGGUGGUCCAUUCUUUGACCGCCACUCUCGCUCGUGCAGAGUAGUUUAGUUAGAACAGCACGCAAUGCGUACCCCGCUGUGGUUUAUUUUAAUGACGUCGUUCUCUCUCGGUGCUCUUGCAUCACCCUCGACGUACGACGGCGACUUGACCUUCGUUGGAAAUUCACGAGCGAACGCAACCACGUUUUCUGUUCCACCGGUGCACAAAAAGGAGAACAUGGCAGCUACCCUUCGUCGCUUCGCCUGUGGUCUGGCUGAAAAGGUGCCACACUGGGUCAAGCAGAAGCUGAUCGAGGCGCCGGUGUCAACGCAGUGCUCGCUAGCCCUGCUCAAGAUGCUUCGCGGACUUUCAGACCUGGAGCCUUGGGCGGUGCGCAUGUUCGACUCUACCGGAAAAAUACCGACCGGCGUGUUCACGGGAACCUCUACCGAGCUGGGAUCUUUCGACGAGUGCCUUGCAACCGUCGUAAGGGACGACUCCGGCACAGAGCAUAUCAGAGCUCAGUACUGUAGCCUGUUCAUCCGCACGGACAAAGACACCUCGAUCUCUGAACUUCUAUUGCCUGGAUUCAUCAUGACUCACCGAAAUACGCCUACAUUGAUGAGCUACAUGAACGACCCUCGGACACCAGGCUUUCGCUGGGGCGUUUGUGUUGUUUCGGAGUGCAAAGAAGAAGAACUGGAAGAGAUCGCUCGUUCUCUGAUUGGAGACAUGGUGACAGUAAAUGUGAAAUACUGCAUGACGGAUAUCACGCCAGGCCUCACGACUGCUCAAGUUGCUGUUGUGGCUAUCCUGGCGACCCUUCUAGUGCUGAUGGUGGCUGCUACUUUCCUGGACAUGUACGCGUCUGAUACUACAAAGAAGAACGCGGCGGUGAACGUCCUGAGGUGCUUCUCAAUACCGGCUAACCUGAGGCUCCUGGCGUCCAAGCCCGAAAGGUUGUCUGACUCCUACCAACUGCGGUUCCUGCACGGCCUGCGCGCCGUCAGCAUCUACUAUAUCGUCUACGGUCACUCCACGUGCGAGAUGGCGUUUGUCAGUGCCAACUCUACCUAUGCUCUGCAGUACAUCGAUAGCUACGAAUCGACCCUAACGCUAGCUUCGUUCCUGUCUGUGGACAACUUCUUUUUCAUGAGCGGGUACCUGCUGUCCUACACGCUCCAUGGCCUCAAGAAGGGAAGAGGAGUCCUUGCAGUCAUUGUCAUUAUUGUUCGACGUUGGUACAGGCUGGUGCUGCCCUUGGUAUUCGUGGCGUGCUGUUUCUCCCUGCUGCCAAUGAUCGCUACGGGACCUACCACUACUCUCGUAUACGACCAUUUCUAUGCAGACGUCACUGGAUACUGGUGGGCUUUCGUCCUGAACAUCCGAAACAUGUAUGAAGAGCUCACACACGGUGUCAGCGUCCACACGUGGUACAUCUCGGCUGACUACCAACUAUUCCUUGCUGCUCUUCUCGCUCAUCAGCUGAUUCGGACACGCGCUAUCGUCACUACUCUGGCGGUGAUGUGUAUCGCAUGUUGCUCCUUCACUGCGUGGCAGAUGAGUGGUAGUAGGUAUUCACCCGUAAUCGUUCAGCUGACAGAGACGUAUGACGACUAUAUCAAGAUGUUCACCAACGUGUACAUGCUUCCUACAUACCAUGCUGCCAGCUUUUUUGGGGGUUGCAUCACAUUCUACGUCGUGGCAAAGUUCAAGAACGAAAAAGUUUCGAAGGCUUCGUACAGACCAUGCUGUCGGCUACACCACUGGCCGUUCUUAGCAGGCUUUCCUAUGGCAUCUACCUAAUCCACUUUCCAUUCUUCCUUCUUUGGAAAUCCGCCGUCAGAGAACGGCUCUACACUAAUAUAUUCAAUUUGUUCUCCGAAAGUGUACCGGUGUUUGUGUGGAGCUGCAUGCUUGCGUUGGUGCUGUUCUUGGCCUGCGAGGCUCCGGUUGGACGUCUGGACAAAAUAUUGUGGGCCAAGUCGUCGCUCAAAAAGAAAGAGGAGCAAGUCAAUGAGGGGCACGACCUGGAGCUACCUACACGUCACUCUGAAGCACCUG
rnacentral:misc_RNA from 1 species